UACGUAGGACCCAAGCGUUAUCCGGAAUCACUGGGCGUAAAGAGUAGCGUAGGCGGUUUUUUAAGCAGAGCAUGAAAUCUUGUGGCUUAACCAUAAGGCUAUGUUCUGAACUGGAGAACUAGAGUAUAGAAGAGGUAACUGGAAUUCCUAGUGUAGGAGUGAAAUCCGUAGAUAUUAGGAGGAACACCGAUGGCGUAGGCAGGUUACUGGUCUAUUACUGACGCUAAGGCACGAAAGCGUGGGGAGCAAACGGG
rnacentral:rRNA from 1 species